AGAAUGAACGUUGGCGGCGUGGAUUAGGCAUGCAAGUCGAACGGAUUUGGUAGCAAUACCAGGUCAGUGGCGUAAGGGUGAGUAAGGCGACGGCAACCAACCCCAUGGUUGGGCAUAGCCGCGGGAAACUGCGGGUAAUUCCCAGCGAUGUUCGUACCGGGCAUCCGGUGUGAACCAAAGUUCUGGCGCCGUGGGACGGGCCGUCGUGGUAUUAGGUAGUUGGCGGGGUAAUGGCCCACCAAGCCUCUGAUGCCUACCGGGCGUGCGAGCGUGGCCCGGCACACUGGGACUGAGACACUGCCCAGACUCCUACGGGAGGCUGCAGUCGAGAAUCUUCGGCAAUGGGCGCAAGCCUGACCGAGCGACGCCGCGUGGAGGAUGAAGGCCUUCGGGUUGUAAACUCCUGUCGAGGGGGAGGAAGGCGUAAGCUUGACCUAUCCCUGGAGGAAGCACGGGCUAAGUUCGUGCCAGCAGCCGC
rnacentral:rRNA from 1 species